rnacentral:lncRNA from 1 species
CACGCUCUGUAUUUCUCGCCAGCAAGAAAUCAUACGCAGGACACUCGGAUCCUUCUGCAGGAAAGCUUUAAUGCGUCUUGAGAGGAGAGCAUAAGCUUACCAGAGCGGAGACCCUGAGCCAAGAAUCCCGUCCCCUAAUAAAGGCUGGCAGCCGCCGCCUGGGACGUGUCACCCCAUGAUUGGCUGUAGCUCAUCCGGCCAUAUGACGCCACGGAAUAGGCAGAGAUCAAGGAAUGGAAAUUUACCCAGCGCCUGCGCAAUAAUCUUGUUUACAUUCGGUGCCUGCCGGAUGCAGGCGCCAUCUUGUAAUGGAGAAUGCAGGGACGGCUCCCUACAGAUCCCCCUUUUUUUAUUAAUUAAUGAUAAGGCUUUAUAUUUUUACAAGCAAAUAGAGCGGAGACCCUGAACCAAGAAUCCCGUCCCCUAAUAAAGGCUGGCAGCCGCCGCCUGGGACGUGUCACCCUAUGAUUGGCUGUAGCUCAUCCGGCCAUAUGACGCCACGGAAUAGGCAGAGAUCAAGGAAUGGAAAUUUACCCAGCGCCUGCGCAAUAAUCUUGUUUACAUUCGGUGCCUGCCGGAUGCAGGCGCCAUCUUGUAAUGGAGAAUGCAGGGACGGCUCCCUACAACUUCCCUUUCCCAGAAAAACGGCAGAGGACAGGUCGAGAGUACUUCGGGUCAAGCUAACAGCCUGAUGGUGACUCCCGUACACAGUCUUAAUGUUUGAUUUUGGGAAGGUACAACCUCUGCCUCUAUCCCUCAACAUAUGGGUGACCUAUUUGCUUGUAAAAAUAUAAAGCCUU